GAGUCCUUACUAGACUAGCCGCGCUGGACACGUGUGUUAGGUCUUUUUGCUUCAUGAUUCGCUAGACUCUGAACGUCUGUAUGCAGGUCGAUGUUUGCGAUUGGGCGUUAGAAUGUUCUGGAAUUCUCGCUUGAUACUGCGAUUUUCAAAGGAGGUCAUGGCUGAUUCAGGUUAUACUUGAAUACUCCCUGUAAUCAUUGGUGACUGGGUGGCUCUGAUUUACAUACUGGCAGCAAGAAUAAUGGAGACAGUGAUGAUGGUCCAGGACGUCUUGGAUCUACAGUGUGAGGAUACAAAAGUGGUUUGAGGUGGACGAUGACCGUUCUGGGUCUGCAGUUUCAAGAAGAUCUGUUUUAGAAUAUGGAUUCAUAGUUGAGUCGUCUUUCACUGCAUAGAAGUGCCACAUGAAAAGAUGUGCCAUGCUGUUCCGUCAACUACUUGGCAACCAGAUGGGAUUACUGGACAUUGGAUUCCAACACUUGUGAGGAUUUUGGGUUGUGAAUCUAAUCGAUCUAUGUGGCAGUUUUGUCUCGCAAAACCACUGGGAGUGAUGACUGCUAUAAAGGAGCCCAUUACCACUAUUUGGUCUUGAACAUCAGGUUGUACUUGAAUACUCCCUGUAAUCAUUGGUGACUGGGUGGCCCUGAUUUACAUACUGGCAGCAAGAAUAAUGGAGACAGUGAUGAUGGUCCAGGAUGUCUUGGAUCUACUGUGUGAGGAUACAAAAGUGGUUUGAGGAUUUUGGGUUGUGAAUCUAAUCGAUCUAUGUGGCAGUUUUGUCUCGCAAAACCACUGGGAGUGAUGACUGCUAUAAAGGAGCCCAUUACCACUAUUUGGUCUUGAACAUCAGAGUUGAGUCGUCUUUCACUGCAUAGAAGUGCCACAUGAAAAGAUGUGCCAUGCUGUUCCGUCAACUACUUGGCAACCAGAUGGGAUUACUGGACAUUGGAUUCCAACACUUGUGAGGUUUGCCAUGCCAUUGAUGACCACACCUUCCACAACAUCACUAUUGCAAAACAGUCAUUGGUGUUUACCUUCAAGGCCAUUCACAGUUAACCUGGCAAUAGCCAGAUGAAUUUCGCUCUGCCUAGCUCCACUCAUCCAUCUGGAACCGAUCCAUUGAAGUGUUGCUUCAGAAGGCUGGGCCUAAUCAAAAAAUUGCUUCUACGCUAUGUCACAU